rnacentral:lncRNA from 1 species
UAUUAUGCGAUAGCGAAAGAAAGAUACGAGAUAAUUUCAUUUCUCUGUCUUUGAGUUCGUUUCAUCUGUUUACAAUUGAUGAAACUCUCGUCUUUCUUAUACUGUUAAACAAAAUCAGUUCAAACUAUGAUGAUAUUCGUAAGUUCUUUCUUUAUAAUUGAUCAUUUUUGCAAUUCCUGAAACAAUGGUUGAAUAUCUCUCUUGAUUUUCAAUAUCGUUUUUUAUUGCAAAUCUUGAAUCACUGAUUGGAUGGAGAUAUUGAAGGGAAAACUGUAUUUCUUGAGCUUACGAACACUCUCCUAAAACCCUAAAAGUAUGUUGUGGCAACAAACUCUUUCAUUCCUAAUCUCAAUCUUGAUUAUUCAAGAAUGCUUUAUCUCAAUGAACCGAAAAUGUAUUUGGCAAAAAUUGGACAAUGCUUGCAAGAUGAAUUGUAAUAAUAUGAAUUAUGAAAUCCAAAUGAGACCCUAAUUAGUUGGAUGGCUAUAUACGAAAUUGCAAUAUGAAUUAUGAACUCUUUAUUCGUAUUGUAAUAUCAGGAUGCUGGAUAAAAAAGAUUGUUCCUUUGGCUUCUUAAAUUCAAUUGCAAUAUGAGUGAUAUUCAUAUUGUAAAUUGGGAUGGUAUGCUUCGACCAUGAAGUCCCUAAUUAGGUCAUGAUGAUAUUCGCUGUGUGAAAGCAGAUAAUGUGGAUUUUGCCUGGAUGUCCCUAAUGGAAUAAGUUAAGAUAUUGUGAUUGCCAAGUGCAAUUAUUAUAAUAUGAAUCGGAUGGUAUGCCCGACUCUAGUUGCCUUUAAAUUCAAAUGUGAAUAUGAUCCUAGUUUGUUUGGCUGGCCCAUAUACUUGCAAAUGAAUUCUCUUUGUAAAAUCAGGAUGAUAUGCUCAAGGUUGUAUAAGCAUAAAUGCGAAGUGGAUGGUAUGUGUUGUCCUCUAGCUGCAAUGGUAUGUCCGAGACUUGAUAAGCCUAAUUGAAAUGACUAUGAUUUCUGUAUUCAUAUUUCGUAAUCUUUAUAUUGGAUGAUGAGUUUGCGUUUGAUAAACUAAUUUCUAAUUAUGAAGUUUUUAUUCAUAAAGUAAAAUUUGCAUGUUAUGUUUGACCCUUCAUGUCUUUAUCACCCCAUACUACUUGGAUGUAUCUCUUAUAUUUCUUAAGCUUGGCUAAGUGGUUUUUCACAUGUUCAAUGAGGCAAUGAAGUUGUUAUUUUUCACUUGAUAAGUAUACCAAUUGAACUCAGAUUUAUUAUGGCCAUUGAAUGGUCUUAGGGUCAUAUCUUGCUGAUCCUUCUGUGAUCCCUCACAGGAUGUGAGGCAACUUUCUAAGGAGUAAUCAGUUGGUUGGUUAGUUUGUUUAUCAUGAGGGUUAAAUCCUUGUAAUUCCUUCAUUUCUGAAAAUACUUUGGACACAAGCUCAGAAAGGUGUACUUUAGCAGCUUCAAGUCAUGCUAUUUCCAAACUCUGUCUGCCAAGUGUUUCUUGAGCUUUCUCUAGCACUGCUUGCAGGUGUUUUCCUUGAGACUCUUUGUGGAGCUGCAAGUGUCUUUAUACCUGGACCAAUAAUGUUUUGUGUACAUCAAAUAUGAUAGAAGAAGUGGGACAUCUGAUUUUAUCCCACAGAAACAAAUGCCCCAUCUUAUGUAAAAUAGGGGGUGUAUAAAAAAUAUGUAUGAGAAGUUUGAGAUUGAUUAGAUUACAAGAAAGCUUUAGAGUUUUCAGUUGUUUGCAUAAGUGGUUUAAUUGAUGGGAUAAUAAAAUGCAUGCAUGGUAAGUUGAUAAUAAAAUAUGUUUGCAUAACUUACGUUGUUCAUUUAGCCUUCUCUGCACCUCUAUCUGCAUCUGAAGUGCCUCACUUAUGUGCAAGUCUCUGGCAAGAGUGAAAUUAAUGUUAAUAUAAGACCUUAAGCGAUAGAAUGUUCAUACUGAAGAAGCAUGUGAAAUUUCUUACUUGUUAGCCUUAGGUGCAAGGUCUAGAUUGUUGAUAUGAGUUCCAUUGUUCUCCAAGUGUCUUUCUCCUGUUUCUGCACGUGGAUUUGUGGUUAGUAUAAUAAACUUGUUGUUAAACAAAACUUUUGGUGGUUCUGUUCAUAAAUUAUAUUAGCCAUUUAUAGUGAGAGUUUGUUCUCUUACUGAUUUUGUGUGUCACAUUGUUGCUUUGUCCAUGCAUAUUCUUGCUCAAUGUAUACUUCUGGAGUUGAAAAGGAGAUGUUCAGUAAUUGCACCAAACAAGUUAAGUUAUAAUGGGUUCUCCAUAGCUUUGUGCACAAUAUAUAUGAUUCAUUUUGCUUGACACAAUAACAUAGCAGCUUUAUACCAUCAGGAUCAGCCAAGAAAACUUAGCAGCUAUAUGCUAUAUAAUUUAGCAAAAGCAUAUUA